rnacentral:tRNA from 1 species
GGCCUGAUAGCUCAGUCGGUAGAGCAAGGGAUUGAAAAUCCCUGUGUCCCUGGUUCGAUUCCAGGUCGGGCCACCA